UCGCUAAGAGAAGAAACAUUUUACUAUUGGUGAAGAAUUUAUACCCCUAUAUUGGACCGGCUCGUUGCAGAGACACAAGCUCAGGGCUCUCACUAAUACAGCAUAAUGUAAAAGCUGGCAAUCAUCGAACCUAUCGUGGAGCUGCUGAAGGUGCAUUUUUAAAUACACUGGAAGUCUGUGUGAGUGAUGGGACGGAGCGAUGGUGAACAAAUAUUGGAAAAAGGGUGAUGAACAUCUCUGACAUUCAAGUUCUGAGCUUUUUCUAUUGCCAUGUGCUAGCAGGGCUCAGCAGAGAUGUUAUAGCUGCGCUGCACACUGCGGACAGUCAUGGAGCCCCGGAGCAAACCAGCGG